ACGGGUUGCCAACAGUGGAAUUUUCCCACUGAAAAUUGGGGUUAUCACUAAAGUAGGAUUUGUUUAUUAUAUUCCCAUUGUAAUUUUUUGUGUUUUUAUUAGCACAAAAAUCGCAUUUCCAUUGAAUGAAUUGUUCAAAAAUCGAUUGAGCGCAAAUAUGUAAUUCUUGUUAAACGUCGCAGUGUAAUCGAGUGUAAUUCCAUAGUAUUUACUACCAAACAAUAAUUUGUGGUGAUCGUUAAUUGUAAGCAAUUAAAAAAAUUAGUAUUCAAAAUGCCUCGCGUAAAAGCCGAACCGAAAAAAUGCAUCAAAUCCAACCUACAACAGCCGCCAAACACUUGGGUUUUCGUUCUCAAAGGAGAGGCGCUCGAGCAUUCGGAGCAGUACACCGGAACCGGCACACCUGAUAUUGUUAACCUGCGGCAUCCCAGUACCGGUGAAGCUGGUGUCUUUUUAUUUUCCUCUGCGAAUAAUUCGGUACAGGAGAUUUUGACGUUCGCCGAGGGCAAGCGUUCGUGGCUUAUUGAAGAGUCUGUGAAAAGUGAUGGGAAAAUGCAUUUGUCUACACCCAUAGAUCCAAUAUUUUUAGUGCUUCCAUACCUGAAAAAAUAUUGUACCACACAAGCAAUUCCACUCGAUCAGUUACUAAGGGAUGAUGAAUUUCCACAAAUGGAACGACUGUUAAAAUGUACCGGAUUAAAAUCUUUAAACAUGGUAGCAGAUAGAAAGGGCGAUGAAGAAUUGAACGCAUUUAAAUAUAACGAAGAGAAAACCCUAUUGUGGCUUCAAAAGAAAACCGAACGUGUUGCCGACAUUUUAAAACAAAAAAAGAUACACGUGAUAAAUGGUGCAGCAUCUGCCACGUUUGUCGCAUCGUCGCGCGACGAGAACGUAAACACCGAAGCGUAUUUGAAACACGCGCACGGCAUCGUAUCGGAAUAUCUUAUGGAGGAUCUCAGCGACAAACUUUUAAAGUACUUAAAUUUAACCGAAGAGACUAAUACAAAUACAAAAAGGAAAAUUUGCGGCAAUUUGGCGCAACCAGAAGCGAAACACCCGAAAUUAGAGGAGGAAAGAACACUUACCGGCAACGCUUUAGACUUAAGUAAACCCACCAUAAAAUCUAUUAAACAAUCUAUACAGACGUCUAAAGAAAAAUCACGUGCUAAAGCGGCUGCUGGGAAUAAAAGUAUCACACACUUUUUUAAAAAAUCUUGAAUGUUCUUGGUUGUUUUGGUACAAUCCUGUAUGAAGUAAAAAAGACAGUAUAUCGUACAAUUUUUUAAAUAUUUAUGAUUCCUUAGGAAAGAUACGUAAGUUGAUCUCAUGUUACAUGAAACGUUUUAUGUUUUCAGUUCUCAGCGUUGCAAGUUUGCAUGCGAUUAGAAAAGGUAGCGAUUUAAACAAAAAUGCCAAAUACCGGUUAAUUGAUCUAAUGAAGUGUGUGAUAAUUGAAUUUACUGUUGAAUGUUAAUUAUAUAAUAUGAGAGAGGAUAAUCUAAUCGUUGCGUGAUGAAGAUUAUCAUAAUUGGUUCCCGCCUCAAAACAAGGGCUCUUGUCUUCCACAGCAGAUGCCCAAAGGUAUACUCACAAUAAGUGUAUACGAAGACACACAAUUGGACAUUGCAGUUAUAGUAUAUUUUUUUACCAUGACUUUGUUUACUUUUGUGGGUCUGAUAUUGUUUUGUUGAGUUGUUCUUUUGUUGUUUUUUUGUGGUGUCUCAUCACUAUGUUAAUUUUUCAAUUUCGCAGUAUUUGUCAAAUUCAAAUAGGAAACAGUAUUAUCAAGUCCAUGUAAAAAGUUUAAUAAAUGUAAAAAAAUUAAUACAAUUUGUUAACAUUAAGUUGUUAAUUAGAAACCUUUUUGAGUAUUUAAACUACAAUUUUAUAAGAUUUUGUCAUAGAAACGUAAUGGGCAUAUGUAAUAUAAAAUUUGAUACAAAACAAUUUGUCAAUUAUGAUCUCAAUUUAUAAUUUAUUGUUAUAGUUUGAUAACUGUUUUUGACAUUUGCUUUUUUUACACAUAGGAUAGAGUUGAGAGAGUGAGUUCUGGGUUUUUAGUGAAUGUUCGAUGUACUUCUGAAUGUAUUGUUUAACUAAGAAAUUGUAAUAUAGUAUUUCAAUGUGA